CCUACGGGAGGCAGCAGUGGGGAAUAUUGGGCAAUGGGCGCAAGCCUUACCCAGCAAUACCGCGUGAGUGAAGAAGGUCUUCGGAUUGUAAAGCUCUUUGUUCAGGGACGAACAGAUGACGGUACCUGAAGAACAAGCCCCGGCUAACUACGUGCCAGCAGCCGCGGUAAAACGUAGGGGGCGGGGGUUGUCCGGAAUGACUGGGGGUAAAGGGUGCGUUGGAGGGAUAAUAAGUUAGAAGUGAAAUACCCAGGGCUUAACUCGGGUGCUGCAUCUAAGACUGUUGGGCUUGAGUGCAGGAGAGGUUAAUGGAAUUCCUAGUGUAGCGGUGGAAUGCGUAGAUAUUAGGAGGAACACCAGAGGCGAAGGCGAUUAACUGGACCGUAACUGACGCUGAGGCACGAAAGUGUGGGUAGCAAACAGGAUUAGAUACCCCGGUAGUC
rnacentral:rRNA from 1 species